AUUGAACGCUGGCGGCAGGCCUAACACAUGCAAGUCGAACGAGUGGCGGACGGGUGAGUAAUGUAUGGGAAACUGCCCGAUGGAGGGGGAUAACUACUGGAAACGGUAGCUAAUACCGCAUACCAUCGGAUGUGCCCAGAUGGGAUUAGCUAGUAGGUGGGGUAAUGGCUCACCUAGGAGUCGAUCCCUAGCUGGUCUGAGAGGAUGACCAGCCACACUGGGACUGAGACAGGGUGGAGACUCGUACGGGAGGCAGCAGUGGGGAAUAGGGCACAAUGGGCGCAAGCCUGAUGCAGCCAUGCGGCGUGUAUGAAGAAGGCCUUGGGGUUGUAAAGUACUGUCAGCGGGGAGGCGUUACUCGCAGAAGAAGCACCGGCUAACUCCGGGCCAGCAGCCGCGGUAAUAC
rnacentral:rRNA from 1 species